UUUCUUAUUACUGUCCCAUUUCUAACUGAGGGAAAUCAUUGUUCAACCUUUUCUCUGGCAUCAUUAUUCCCUUAUGCUAGGAAAGCGUUCCAGUCUGUGCUCUGUCUAGAGAGCAUUUCUGCUGGGUGCGAGCACGCACUUUACACGUGCCUUUUAGUAAACUGUACAUUCUGGGGAAGUAUUUGUCACAUAUGAAGAGUCUAGACUACCCAGAUGAGACCAUUACGUUGUCAUCUGGCCAUAACCCAAAACAAAUAUUAUCCCUCCCGUGACUACAUUAGACUAAUAUCACUAAGUCCUUAAAUACUCCCAAGCGUUCUUGUUUCCUCCUGGCUUGUGCCCUGUUCCAUCAGAGUGAAGCAGGCUUGUGCACUGUGCUGCAGCUCUGAUGAGGAAAUGGGCCAUUUGGUGGCAUUUCAGCCCAUUUGCUACACACAGAUGGGCAGAUGGGGUGCUGGCUGUGCACAUCGGCUUCACCCAAACCAGUCUGUGGUCACUCAUGCCAGGGACCUGCUGCAUUUUCACCUUUGGGGAGCUUAUGGUGUCCUUUGAAUCUUCGAACAUUCUUCAGGACUGAUAUUUAUGCCUGCUGGAGCCUGAGGAGCUGUUGGGUUGGAGGAUCUUUUUUCCCAACUCCGAAGCCAGAGCUGCCUCAAGCUGUGCCUCCCGGACUGCCCAAUCAGCCUCAGGCAUCACAGAAUCAUGGAGUAUCUGAGACUGGAAAGGACCCACAAGAAUCAUUGUGCCCAACUCCUGGCUCCCCAAAAUCAAACCAUAUGAGUGAGGCAGACAUCCUCCUGUUUGCUCUUGAAUGAGGGCAGAGUUCCCCUUUUUGGCCUGGGAGAAGAUCAUGAUGGUGUUUUUCCCGGGGAAUCAAAUCCCCGUUCUUAGUUCUCCUGUGAUCUAAGGGCCUCAUAAGCUGAGGCAUUGCUUUCUAUGACAAAGCCUUCCUUCUCACUUCCUCUCUCUUCCCCUCCAGCCAGGGCAGUUUCAGCAGAGGUAUCACAAUAGUGUCUCUGCCCCACAACAGGGCAUGAUGCUGGGGCUGGGCUGUGAAGGAGGAUGCCUGAAGUAAAACUCCAAGAACAACUAUGCUAGGACAGAUCAAGAGGCCAUGCAUCCCACUCCUGUCUUUGAAAGUCAUUAGUAGGAGAUACAUAGGGAAACAAGAUAAUAAACAGAGAGAAAAGGAGCAACGUUUACUGUAUCAUACUUGCCCAGCUCUAGAAAUCAGCAGCUCAGGAAAAAUCAAACCUUUCUUUUCCUUUUCCUUUUCCUUUUCCUUUUCCUUUCCCUUUUCCUUUUCCUUUCCCCUUUUUCCUUUUCCUUUUCCUUUCCCUUUCCAUUUUCCC
ensembl:lncRNA